UCUUUAUACUUUUGUAUUGUUUAAUUUUUUUUAACAGUUGUCUUGUUUUUUCUUCUGCAGUGAAAAUAAUGGUGACAAGAAGCCCACUGCCUGAUUCACAUAAGCAAGGCAUGCUGCAGGGAAGACAGGGUUCUUAUUAAUAUUUCCUUUCAUGUGCUUACAUAUGAGUUACAGUUGCUAAUCCUUUCCCACAGUUUAGCACCUAGUUAAAAGAAAGGGCUUCGGAAUCAGGUAAGUGUAGAUUAAAGUUAUAACGGCAAAUUGCUGAACCUUUGGAAGCCUCGGUUUUUCCACCUGGAAAAUGGAUUUUUAUCUUACAGGACUGUCGUGAGGAUUGAUGAGCUAACAUUCCUAAAUCAGGGAGUUUGAAGUCUGGCCCAGGGUAUUUUCCUCCUUUCCUGAAAUAAUGUGUAGUUCUGACCAAGUGAGAAGAAUCAUAAGAAUAUGGGAUUUUGAAAAACAUGAAAACAUCCUAAGAAAUACCAGGAAGGAGUCCCACAGUGAAGCACAAAUGAAACUCAAGAUGACUGCCUAAAAUAAGAAAUCAUGGAUCUUAGGAGAAAGGGGGCAAGGAAGUAAAUCAAAGGACAAAGCUGAAGACCAAGUGGACCGAAAAGAAGAUGGAAUACAUUUUCCCAAACACUGGUGUUCUCUGGAGUUGGCUUAUCAACAUCUUGUGCAAUCGGAGGAUCGUGUGGUUUACUUCCAGCCAGCUGCCCCGUGGUCCUCCAGCCAGCUCCGGGGGCCACAGUUUUCACACGCUCCGGGAGCGAUCCGAGAGCCGCCUUUUCGUGGAAAGUUACGCUGCCGCCUGGCAACCCCCGGGAACGUCGGGAGGGGCAAGUUGCUGCUCAUCCCUCAGUGCUCAAGUCAUGAGUAGCGAAUUCCUGGCUGAGCUGCACUGGGAGGAUGGGUUCGCCAUCCCGGUGGCGAACGAGGAGAACAAGCUACUGGAAGAUCAGUUGUCAAAGCUGAAGGAUGAAAGAGCAAGCUUGCAAGAUGAGUUACGUGAGUAUGAAGAGCGAAUUAAUUCUAUGACUUCUCACUUCAAAAAUGUUAAGCAAGAGCUCUCAAUUACACAGUCUCUUUGCAAAGCAAGGGAGCGUGAGACUGAAAGUGAAGAACAUUUUAAGGCCAUUGCUCAAAGAGAAUUGGGACGAGUGAAAGAUGAAAUUCAACGGCUGGAAAAUGAGAUGGCUUCAAUACUGGAAAAGAAAAGUGAUAAAGAAAAUGGCAUAUUUAAAGCCACUCAAAAAUUGGAUGGUUUGAAAUGUCAAAUGAACUGGGACCAGCAAGCAUUGGAGGCCUGGUUAGAAGAAUCAGCUCAUAAAGAUAGUGAUGCUCUCACUCUCCAGAAGUAUGCACAACAAGAUGAUAAUAAAAUCAGGGCACUGACUCUGCAAUUAGAAAGACUAACUUUGGAAUGUAAUCAGAAAAGAAAGAUACUUGACAACGAACUUACAGAGACUAUAAGCGCACAGUUAGAAUUGGAUAAAGCAGCACAAGAUUUUCGUAAGAUUCAUAAUGAAAGACAAGAACUCAUUAAACAAUGGGAGAACACAAUAGAACAGAUGCAGAAGAGGGAUGGAGACAUAGAUAACUGUGCUUUGGAAUUAGCAAGGAUAAAGCAGGAAACGAGAGAAAAAGAAAAUUUGGUUAAAGAAAAGAUCAAGUUUUUGGAAAGUGAGAUUGGGAAUAACACAGAGUUUGAGAAAAGAAUUUCUGUGGCUGAUCGUAAACUUUUAAAAUGUAGAACGGCAUAUCAGGACCAUGAAACUAGUAGAAUUCAGCUGAAGGGUGAGCUGGAUUCUUUAAAAGCCACUGUGAAUAGAACUUCCAGUGAUUUAGAAGCUCUGAGGAAAAAUAUUUCCAAGAUAAAGAAGGACAUUCAUGAAGAAACAGCAAGGUUACAAAAAACUAAAAAUCAUAAUGAGAUAAUACAAACAAAAUUAAAGGAGAUAACUGAGAAAACCAUGUCUGUAGAAGAGAAAGCUACUAAUUUGGAAGAUAUGCUAAAGGAGGAGGAAAAAGAUGUGAAGGAAGUAGAUGUUCAACUGAACCUCAUAAAAGGUGUGCUGUUUAAGAAAGCUCAGGAGUUACAGACUGAGACAAUGAAAGAAAAAGCUGUUUUAUCAGAAAUUGAAGGAACUCGUUCCUCUCUGAAACAUCUCAACCAUCAGUUACAAAAACUGGAUUUUGAAACCUUGAAGCAGCAAGAAAUUAUGUACAGCCAGGAUUUUCACAUUCAACAAGUGGAACGGAGAAUGUCACGGUUAAAGGGAGAAAUUAAUUCAGAAGAAAAACAAGCGCUUGAAGCAAAAAUUGUUGAACUUAGGAAGUCUUUGGAAGAGAAAAAAUCUACAUGUGGCCUUUUGGAAACACAGAUCAAGAAGCUUCAUAAUGAUCUUUAUUUUAUCAAGAAGGCACAUAGUAAAAACAGUGAUGAAAAACAGUCCCUUAUGACCAAAAUAAAUGAACUAAACCUUUUCAUCGACAGAUCAGAGAAAGAACUUGAUAAAGCCAAAGGUUUUAAGCAGGAUUUGAUGAUAGAGGACAAUCUUUUAAAACUUGAAGUUAAGCGUACUCGAGAAAUGCUUCACAGUAAGGCAGAAGAAGUUCUUUCCCUAGAAAAAAGAAAACAGCAAUUAUACACAGCAAUGGAAGAGCGAACUGAAGAAAUCAAGGUUCAUAAAACAAUGCUUGCGUCACAAAUAAGAUAUGUUGAUCAAGAACGGGAAAACAUAAGCACUGAGUUUCGCGAGCGGCUAAGUAAAAUUGAGAAGCUGAAGAAUAGAUAUGAAAUUCUGACUGUUGUUAUGCUGCCUCCUGAAGGAGAAGAGGAGAAAACACAGGCCUAUUAUGUAAUAAAGGUGAUGAGUAUGAGCUAAAAAUUCAACUAGAAGAACAAAAAAGAGCUGUUGAUGAAAAAUACAGAUACAAACAAAGACAAAUCAGAGAACUUCAAGAAGACAUCCAGAGCAUGGAAAAUACAUUAGAUGUUAUAGAACAUUUGGCAAAUAAUGUUAAAGAAAAGUUAUCAGAGAAGCAGGCUUAUUCAUUUCAACUAAGUAAAGAAACGGAGGAGCAGAAGCCAAAAUUAGAAAGAGUGACCAAACAGUGUGCAAAACUCACAAAGGAAAUCCGUCUUUUGAAAGACACAAAAGAUGAAACAAUGGAAGAACAAGACAUCAAACUUCGUGAAAUGAAACAGUUUCACAAAGUUAUUGAUGAAAUGUUAGUUGAUAUCAUAGAAGAAAAUACUGAGAUCCGUAUUAUCCUUCAAACAUACUUUCAACAGAGUGGGUUAGAACUACCUACAGCUAGCACAAAAGGCAGUCGUCAGAGCUCUAGAUCUCCUUCACAUACUUCACUAUCAGCAAGGUCAUCUAGGAGUACAAGUACAUCUACUUCUCAGUCUUCAAUUAAAGUACUGGAGCUUAAAUUCCCGGCCUCCUCUUCACUAGUAGGCAGCCCUUCUAGGCCAUCUAGUGCUAGUAGUAGCUCUAGUAAUGUUAAGAGCAAAAAGAGCAGCAAAUAAACAUUUUAAUCUCUUCUGAAAAAGUUGUAAACACAAAAACAAAAAUAUACUUUAAAAUACAAAACGACCCAACACAUUUUAUCUAGUGGAAAGUGUAAAAACUUAGUGGUAAGUGUAAAAACUGAUAGUUUUAAAAAAAAAGGAACGUUCUCAUUUUCUCUACUGUUUUCUUCAUACUGAAGAAAUUAAUAGCAGAUUCUUGACAAGGCUACAUGUUAUACAAGCAUAGGAAAAAUGCUGUAUUUCACUGUAAUUCUGAUGUUCGUAGUGUUAGAAAAUAGUUUGCUUCAUUAUUUCACGAAACUACACUCACUUCUAAUGUAACAAUCUUUCAAGAAGAAAUUUCUAAAGAUUUACUGUACUAUUAUGAGCGUAUUGCAAUGUGAAAAUCUCAUUUACCCUACAAGACACCAAAAUUAGGUUUUCUUUAUUCAAAGUAACUAUUUCUCAGACUUUUGGGGAGAAAAAUUGUUAAAGGCAGUUUCUUCUUUUGCUAUAAUUUUUAACCAAAAAAUAGCAUCAACCCCUACCCACCCCACCCCCCCAAAAAAAAACCGGUAAGAGAAACACUGUAUAUCAAUUUUAAAAUGCAGCAUAAAUUUAGAAAAAUCACUUCUGACCUUGAAAUAAAUCACUUCUGACCUUGAAAUAAACGCAUUAAAGAUUUGCUUUCAGAUACAGCCAACCAAGUAUAAACAAUUUUGAAAUUUUCUUGAUUUAAUAAACGAUUUAAUGAAAGCUAGGUAUGACUUGAUUUGCAAUAGAAAUUUCAUUUACAGUUGGAGGUAGACUGCCAAAUGUAGUAGUUUUUCCAGUUAACACUUCAUUAUAACAUGUGCCCAACACUUUGUACUCUUGGAAUAGAGUGUGGAAUAUUAUAAAACUGGAUUUUAAAUAAAUGUAUUAGAAUUCA
ensembl:lncRNA novel transcript